rnacentral:lncRNA from 1 species
AUGGGUUCAUCACUGAUACCAGCAAAGAAGUACGUUUUGCUCUUGGUGGACACGCGGGCAUUGCUGGUGCUCAAAGGCUUAUCCCCAUUCAGCUUCAUGUUUGGUCCAGUCGGACGAAAGUCAAGUGCCAGGCAUACAUCUGGAGACUUGGAGCUUGUUGGGGUGGGGGGGGUGUUGGGCCUCAACUGGGGGCGCUGGAUGAACAGUGUGGGGAGAACAGGAGAACUGUCUGCAGGAAUGACGGUGAGCCUGAUCGGGUCUCCAAAUAUAAGAUCACGGAGCUGCAGCCUCGUACAAAAACCUCAGCGCUCUCAAACCUCCUGAAAGUAGCAUAAAAAAAUCCUCACAGACUUUUAUAGAAGAUCCAUGUAAUGCUGGAGUCCUGGGGAACAAACUGGGAGAGACACUGCUUGGAUUUUCCAGCUGUGAAGCUGGAGAAGCUUUCUGCAGCUGGAGAACACAGAAUCCAGAAUCCCGAACAUGAAGAUGUGGGAGAGAGUUUUCCUCCAGGGAUGAGCUCCAGAGGAUCCAGCUGCAAAAACAGCAGCUACUCCUGAGUUCUGCUUUCUCUGCAGGAUUCCUGGAUUUUAGUAAAGUAGCAGAUGAACCUGCAGGUUUUUGCACAGCUCUGAAUGCAGGUUCAGUCAUCGUGGUAUCCCAGUAGCCCAUACACAGUGAAAACCGUCAAUACAAAAACUUGCAACCACAGGAAGAUGAUGCUGCCGCUCUGUUUCAGCACAAUACAAAGCAGCAGACAUUUAGAAAAAGUGAGUAUUUUCAUGCUAAAGGAGUCUACAGUUGCAGUCCA